rnacentral:rRNA from 1 species
ACACGGAUAUCCUAAUCAUAUGGAGUAAACUUUUGAAGGUUUAAAAAGUAAAUUGGGUGGCAGUUUUAAGUUGUAGUAGAGAAGUAUGUUUAGUAAUCGAUUCACACGACGAUCUCACCUUCUAUUGAACUAUUCAUUUCACACACCUCCGUCUGAAGGGUUUAAUAAAUCCCUAAAACUGUUAAAGUAGUAAGUCAGGUCAAGGCGUGGACUAUGAGAAGGUUUAAAUGUACUUUAUUGAUUUAGACAGAUUAUUUUUGUAACAGGAUAAGCAAGUAAAAUUUACAAGCACU